rnacentral:rRNA from 1 species
GUCAGAACGAUGACUUUUGUGCUUGCACAGAAUGAUUAGUGGCGAACGGGUGAGUAACACGUGAGUAACCUGCCCCUGACUCUGUGGAUAAGCCUGGGAAACUGGGUCUAAUACCGGAUAUGCACCGUGGACCGCAUGGUUCUUGGUGGAAAGAUUUUUUGGUCAGGGAUGGACUCGCGGCCUAUCAGCUUGUUGGUGAGGUAAUGGCUCACCAAGGCGACGACGGGUAGCCGGCCUGAGAGGGUGACCGGCCACACUGGGACUGAGACACGGCCCAGACUCCUACGGGAGGCAGCAGUGGGGAAUAUUGCACAAUGGGCGAAAGCCUGAUGCAGCGACGCCGCGUGAGGGAUGACGGCCUUCGGGUUGUAAACCUCUUUCAGUAGGGAAGAAGCGAAAGUGACGGUACCUGCAGAAGAAGCGCCGGCUAACUACGUGCCAGCAGCCGCGGUAAUACGUAGGGCGCAAGCGUUAUCCGGAAUUAUUGGGCGUAAAGAGCUCGUAGGCGGUUUGUCGCGUCUAUCGUGAAAGUCCGAGGCUCAACCUCGGAUCUGCGGUGGGUACGGGCAGACUAGAGUGAUGUAGGGGAGACUGGAAUUCCUGGUGUAGCGGUGAAAUGCGCAGAUAUCAGGAGGAACACCGAUGGCGAAGGCAGGUCUCUGGGCAUUAACUGACGCUGAGGAGCGAAAGCAUGGGGAGCGAACAGGAUUAGAUACCCUGGUAGUCCAUGCCGUAAACGUUGGGCACUAGGUGGUGGGGGACAUUCCACGUUUUCCGCGCCGGUAGCUAACGCAAUUAAGUGCCCCCGCCUGGGGAGUACGGCCGCAAGGCUAAAACUCAAAGGAAAUUGACGGGGGCCCGCACAAGCGGCGGAGCAUGCGGAUUAAUUCGAUGCAACGCGAAGAACCUUACCCAAGGCUUGACAUGUGCCAGACCGCCGUGGAAACACGGUUUCCCCUUUGGGGCUGGUUCACAGGUGGUGCAUGGUUGUCGUCAGCUCGUGUCGUGAGAUGUUGGGUUAAGUCCCGCAACGAGCGCAACCCUCGUUCCAUGUUGCCAGCGCGUAAAGGCGGGGACUCAUGGGAGACUGCCGGGGUCAACUCGGAGGAAGGUGGGGACGACGUCAAAUCAUCAUGCCCCUUAUGUCUUGGGCUUCACGCAUGCUACAAUGGCCGGUACAAUGGGUUGCGAUACUGUGAGGUGGAGCUAAUCCCGAAAAAGCCGGUCUCAGUUCGGAUUGGGGUCUGCAACUCGACCCCAUGAAGUGGGAGUCGCUAGUAAUCGCAGAUCAGCAACGCUGCGGUGAAUACGUCCCGGGCCUUGUACACACCGCCCGUCAAGUCACGAAAGUUGGUAACACCCGAAGCCGGGGCUAACCCCUUGUGGGACCGAGACAAUUUGAGGGGGGUGUUUUAUCACUCACCCCUAAAAUUUCCCCCUGGGGU